AACGAACGCUGGCGGCGUGCUUAACGCAUGCAAGUCGAAUGCGUGACGUCUCUUCGGAGGCGCAGUAGCAUGGCAGACGGGUGAGGAACGCGUAUCUGACCUGUCGCUCGAUGGGGGAUAGUCCUGCGAAAGCGGGCAUAAUACCGCAUACGCUCCUUCGGGAGGAAAGCCGGCCUCUAGAUUAUGCCGGUGUCGAGUGAGGGGGAUGCGUCCUAUUAGUUAGUUGGUGGGGUAACGGCCUACCAAGACGACGAUGGGUCGCUGGUCUGAGAGGAUGAUCAGCCACACUGGGACUGAGACACGGCCCAGACUCCUACGGGAGGCAGCAGUGGGGAAUUUUGCGCAAUGGGCGCAAGCCUGACGCAGCAACGCCGCGUGAGUGAGGACGCCUUUCGGGGUGUAAAACUCUGUCGGAGGGGACGAACCGCCGUGAGGUUAAUGGCCUCAUGGUCUGACGGUACCCUCAGAGGAAGCCCCGGCUAACUCCGUGCCAGCAGCCGCGGUAAGACGGAGGGGGCAAGCGUUGUUCGGAAUUACUGGGCGUAAAGGGCGCGUAGGCGGUCCGCCAAGUGUCGAGUGAAAGCCCCCGGCUUA
rnacentral:rRNA from 1 species